rnacentral:rRNA from 1 species
GACGUACCACCCGAACGUUAUUCGGAUUCACUGGGCUUACAGAGUCCGUAGGCGGUCAAGAAAGUUAGGCGUGAAAUCCCUCAGCUCAACUGAGGAAUAGCGCUUAAAACUACUUGGCUAGAGAGAGUCAGAGGUGAGCGGAACUGAUGGUGGAGCGGUGAAAUGCGUUGAUAUCAUCAGGAACACCGGUGGCGAAAGCGGCUCACUGGGGCCUUUCUGACGCUGAGGGACGAAAGCUAGGGGAGCGAACGGG